UGGGGGAUAUUGCACAAUGGGCGAAAGCCUGAUGCAGCGACGCCGCGUGGGGGAUGAAGGCCUUCGGGUUGUAAACUUCUUUUGCUCUGAACAAGGCAUGCUAAUGGGUGUGUUGAGUGUAGGGGUUGAUUAGCGCCGGCUAACUACGUGCCAGCAGCCGCGGUAAUACGCAGGGCGCGAGCGUUGUCCGGAAUUAUUGGGCGUAAAGGGCUUGUAGGUGGCUGGUUGCGUCUGUCGUGAAAGCUCAUGGCUUAACUGUGGGUUUGCGGUGGGUACGGGCUGGCUUGAGUGCAGUAGGGGAGGCUGGAAUUCCUGGUGUAGCGGUGGAAUGCGCAGAUAUCAGGAGGAAUACCGGUGGCGAAGGCGGGUCUCUGGGCUGUUACUGACACUGAGGAGCGAAAGCAUGGGGAGCGAACAGG
rnacentral:rRNA from 1 species